rnacentral:rRNA from 1 species
GACGAACGCUGGCGGCGUGCUUAACACAUGCAAGUCAAACGGAAAGGCCCUGCUUUUGUGGGGUGCUCGAGUGGCGAACGGGUGAGUAACACGUGAGUAACCUGCCCUUGACUUUGGGAUAACUUCAGGAAACUGGGGCUAAUACCGGAUAGGAGCUCCUGCUGCAUGGUGGGGGUUGGAAAGUUUCGGCGGUUGGGGAUGGACUCGCGGCUUAUCAGCUUGUUGGUGGGGUAGUGGCUUACCAAGGCUUUGACGGGUAGCCGGCCUGAGAGGGUGACCGGCCACAUUGGGACUGAGAUACGGCCCAGACUCCUACGGGAGGCAGCAGUGGGGAAUAUCGCACAAUGGGCGGAAGCCUGAUGCAGCAACGCCGCGUGCGGGAUGACGGCCUUCGGGUUGUAAACCGCUUUCGCCUGUGACGAAGCGUGAGUGACGGUAAUGGGUAAAGAAGCACCGGCUAACUACGUG